AGAGUUUGAUCCUGGCUCAGGAUAAACGCUGGCGGCGUGCCUAAUACAUGCAAGUCGAACGAAGGUUUGUAGCAAUACUGACCUUAGUGGCGAAUGGGUGAGUAACGCGUUGGUGACCUGCCCCAAAGAGGGGAAUAACAGUUCGAAAGGACUGCUAAUGCCCCAUGUGGUUAUGGUGUUUAGAAAGCUAUAACUAAAGGAGCAAUCCGCUUUGGGAGGGGCCUGCGUCCCAUCAGCUAGUUGGUAGGGUAACGGCCUACCAAGGCUACGACGGGUAGGGGGCCUGAGAGGGUGGCCCCCCACACUGGCACUGAAACACGGGCCGGACACCUACGGGUGGCAGCAGUAGGGAAUAUUGCACAAUGGGCGAAAGCCUGAUGCAGCAACGCCGCGUGCACGAUGAAGGUCUUCGGAUCGUAAAGUGCUUUUUGGGGAGACGAGGAAGGACGGUAUCCUCAGAAUAAGGAUCGGCUAACUACGUGCCAGCAGCCGCGGUAACACGUAGGAUCCGAGCGUUAUCCGAAUUUACUGGGCGUAAAGCGCGUGCAGGUGGUUUGAUAAGUUGGAUGUGAAAGCUCCUGGCUCAACUGGGAGAGGCCGUUCAAAACUAUCAGACUUGAGGACGGUAGAGGAAAGUGGAAUUCCCGGUGUAGUAGUGAAAUGCGUAGAUAUCGGGAGGAACACCAGUGGCGAAGGCGGCUUUCUGGACCGUUUCUGACACUAAGACGCGAAAGCUAGGGUAGCGAAUGGGAUUAGAAACCCCAGUAGUCCUAGCCGUAAACGAUGUAGACUAGGCGUCGGUGGGGUAAAAGCCAUCGGUGUCGCAGCUAACGCGAUAAGUCUACCGCCUGGGGACUACGGCCGCAAGGUUAAAACUCAAAGGAAUUGACGG
rnacentral:rRNA from 1 species